AUUGAACGCUGGCGGAAUGCUUUACACAUGCAAGUCGAACGGCAGCACGGGGGCAACCCUGGUGGCGAGUGGCGAACGGGUGAGUAAUACGUCGGAACGUGCCCAGUCGUGGGGGAUAACGUAGCGAAAGUUACGCUAAUACCGCAUACGAUCUACGGAUGAAAGCGGGGGACCGUAAGGCCUCGCGCGAUUGGAGCGGCCGAUGACAGAUUAGGUAGUUGGUGAGGUAAAGGCUCACCAAGCCGACGAUCUGUAGCUGGUCUGAGAGGACGACCAGCCACACUGGGACUGAGACACGGCCCAGACUCCUACGGGAGGCAGCAGUGGGGAAUUUUGGACAAUGGGCGCAAGCCUGAUCCAGCCAUUCCGCGUGCAGGACGAAGGCCUUCGGGUUGUAAACUGCUUUUGUACGGAACGAAAAGGCUCUGGUUAAUACCUGGGGCUCAUGACGGUACCGUAAGAAUAAGCACCGGCUAACUACGUGCCAGCCGCCGCAGUAA
rnacentral:rRNA from 1 species